ACGAACGCUGGCGGCGUGCUUAACACAUGCAAGUCGAACGGAAAGGCCCUGCUUGCAGGGUACUCGAGUGGCGAACGGGUGAGUAACACGUGGGUGAUCUGCCCUGCACUUCGGGAUAAGCCUGGGAAACUGGGUCUAAUACCGGAUAGGAGCCAUUUUUAGUGUGAUGGUUGGAAAGUUUUUUCGGUGUAGGAUGAGCUCGCGGCCUAUCAGCUUGUUGGUGGGGUAAUGGCCUACCAAGGCGGCGACGGGUAGCCGGCCUGAGAGGGUGGACGGCCACAUUGGGACUGAGAUACGGCCCAGACGCCUACGGGAGGCAGCAGUGGGGAAUAUUGCACAAUGGGCGCAAGCCUGAUGCAGCGACGCCGCGUGGGGGAGGACGGCCUUCGGGUUGUAAACUCCUUUCGCUAGGGACGAAGCUUUUUGUGACGGUACCUAGAUAAGAAGCACCGGCUAACUACGUG
rnacentral:rRNA from 1 species